AAUUUUGAAGAGAAAGUUCANAAAAGUAAGUUCAAGAGUACGUGAAACCGUUCAGAAGUAAACCUAAGAAACCCAAAAGAUCGAACUUACUUCAUCGGGGAAAUUCAUCGUCAGCGGCAUCGGCUUCGCGUCGGUGGGCAAUGUCUCGCAUGUCUCUCGCUCGCGGACACGCUGCCGUGCGCGCAUAUCCGGCGUCAUCGAAGCACUUCUCCUCUAAUANGACGUCGCGACCCGCUAGGUGUCGGUUUACGGCGGUGUCUGUCGCGUCGCCGGUAAAACGGCACGCGGCAAACUCCCGAUAUGCCCGACCGACUGCCCGGUACUCGCACGGUAUAAGGCCGCAAAGAAGCGCGCCCGCGCG
rnacentral:rRNA from 1 species